rnacentral:rRNA from 1 species
AUUGAACGCUGGCGGAGUGCUUUACACAUGCAAGUCGAGCGGCAGCACGGGGGCAACCCUGGUGACGAGCGGCGAACGGGUGAGUAAUACAUCGGAACAUGCCCAGUCGUGGGGGAUAACACUUCGAACGAAGUGCUAAUACCGCAUACGUCCUGAGGGAGAAAGCGGGGGAUCUUCGGACCUCGCGCGAUUGGAGUGGCCGAAGUCAGAUAAGCUAGUGGGUGGGGUAAAGGCCUACCAAGGCAACGAUGUGUAGCUGGUCUGAGAGGAUGAUCAGCCACACUGGGACUGAGACACGGCCCAGACUCCUACGGGAGGCAGCAGUGGGGAAUUGUGGACAAUGGGGGCAACCCUGAUCCAGCCACUCCGCGUGAGUGAAGAAGGCCUUCGGGUUGUAAAGCUCUUUCGGCAGGAACGAAACGGCGAGCUCUAACAUAGCUUGCUAAUGACGGUACCUGAAGAAGAAGCACCGGCUAACUACGUGCCAGCAGCCGCAGUAACAC